GAGCACGUAGGUGGGUUUGUAAGUCAGAUGUGAAAGCCUUCUGUUCAACGGAAGAAUUGCAUCUGAAACUGCGAAUCCUGAGUGUAGGAGGGGAGAAUGGAACUUCUGGUGGAGCGGUGAAAUGCGUAAAUAUCAGAAGGAACGCCGGCGGCGAAAGCGAUUCUCUGGCCUAUUACUGACACUCAGUGUGCGAAAGCUAGGGGAGCAAACGGGAUUAGAUACCCCGGUAGUCCUAGCCGUAAACGAUGGGCACUAAGUAGAGGGAAUUACCGAUGUUCUCUCUGCCGUAGCUAACGCAUUAAGUGCCCCGCCUGGGGAGUACGGCCGCAAGGCUAAAACUCGAAAGAAUUGACGGGGGCUCGCACAAGCGGUGGAGCAUGUGGCUUAAUUCGAUGCAACGCGAAAAACCUUACCGGGGCUUGACAUGAUAGAAGUAGGAACCUGAAAGGGGGACGAACGGUAUCCAGUCCGUAGCUAUUACAGGUGUUGCAUGGCUGUCGUCAGCUCGUGUCGUGAGACGUUGGGUUAAGUCCCCUAACGAGCGAAACCCUUGUUUUUAGUUACCAGCGGGUUAUGCCGGGUACUCUAGAAAGACUGCCGUCGUCAAGACGGAGGAAGGUGGGGAUGACGUCAAGUCAUCAUGGCCCUUAUGCCCCGGGCUGCACACGUGCUACAAUGGUCGGUACAGACGGAAGCGAAGCCGAGAGGUGAAGCGAAUCCA
rnacentral:rRNA from 1 species